rfam:Ricinus communis cultivar Hale ctg_1100012354548, whole genome shotgun sequence.
AAAUUAUGAUGAGGGCAACUCCAUUAGAACUCUUUGAAUCUCUCUUAUGCCUCAUACAAAGUUUCUCCAUCAGCUUGUUGGAAGUUGGUAAUCUCAUUCAUAGUCCU